rnacentral:rRNA from 1 species
UACGAAGGGGGCUAGCGUUGCUCGGAAUCACUGGGCGUAAAGCGCACGUAGGCGGAUCUUUAAGUCAGGGGUGAAAUCCCAAGGCUCAACCUUGGAACUGCCUUUGAUACUGGGGAUCUCGAGUCCGGAAGAGGUUGGUGGAACUGCGAGUGUAGAGGUGAAAUUCGUAGAUAUUCGCAAGAACACCAGUGGCGAAGGCGGCCAACUGGUCCGGUACUGACGCUGAGACGCGAAAGCGUGGGGAGCGAACAGG